GAAGGUUUUCGGAUCGUAAAGCUCUGUUGUUAGGGAAGACAGUGGAGAGUAACUGCUCGCACCUUGACGGUACCUAACCAGAAAGCCACGGCUAACUACGUGCCAGCAGCCGCGGUAAACGUAGGUGGCAAGCGUUGUCCGGAAUUAUUGGGCGUAAAGGGCUCGCAGGCGGUUUCUUAAGUCUGAUGUGAGCCCCCGGCUCAACCGGGGAGGGUCAUUGGACACUGGGAAUCUUGAGUGCAGAAGAGGAGAGUGUAAUUCCUCGUGUAGCGGUGAAAUGCGUAGAGAUGUGGAGGAACACCAGUGGCGAAGGCGACUCUCUGGUCUGUAACUGACGCUGAGAGCGAAAGCGUGGGGAGUGAACAGGAUUAGAUACCCUGGUAGUCCACGCCGUAACCGAUGAGUGGUAAGUGUUAGGGGGUUUCCGCCCCUUAGUGCUGCAGCUAACGCAUUAAGCAUUCCGCCUGGGGAGUACGGUCGCAAGACUGAAACUCAAGGAAUUGCCGGGGGCCCGCACAAGCGGUGGAGCAUGUGGUUUAAUUGGAAGCAACAGGAAGAACCUUACCAGGUCUUGACAUCCUCUGACAACCCUAGGAUAGGGCUUUCCCUUCGGGGACAGAGUGACAGGUGGUGCAUGGUUGUCGUCAGCUCGUGUCGUGAGAUGUUGGGUUAAGUCCCGCAACGAGCGCAACCCUUGAUCUUAGUUGCCAGCAUUCAGUUGGGCACUCUAAGGUGCAUGCCGGUGACAAACCGGAGGAAGGUGGGGAUGUCGUCAAAUCAUCAUGCCCCCUAUGGCAAGGGCUACACACGUGCUACAAUGGACAGAACAAAGGGCUGCAAGACCGCAAGGUUUAGCCAAUCCCAUAAAUCUGUUAUCAGUUCGGAUCGCAGUCUGCAACUCGACUGCGGAAGCGGAAUCGCUAGUAAUCGCUGUCAGCUGCCUCAGG
rnacentral:rRNA from 1 species